AACCUAGUAGGCUAAUGUUAAGUGUCGAUCUUCCUCAUCAACCCUGAUGACUACUGUCAUUGCACUGAUUGUGAAUGAUUGAGAAACGCACUUUGAAUCGUCUGUGUGCCUUGCACAUGCUGGUGAAGACUGUGAGCUAGGGUGACCAGAUAAGAAGUCUCUCCGUGGCUGCAUGCAGCCAUACUCCCCGUGUCCUCCACUGCAACUUCAACCACCAUACUAGUACACAAAAAGGUAAAACAGCAUGCACGCCUGUUACUUUGUGGCUAUAACGUUGCUGUUGACACGGUGUCCACGAUAACCUGUAGUGCCUGUUGCCAUCUGUGGGCUACACCACAAGAAUGUUUCACAAUGAUCAAUAGGCUAUUAUGCUUUAUGAGGCAAUACUCAGGUUUAGUCUAAUUUUCGGGACUAAUAGGAUAUGAUUAGGGACAACUGCUCGUAUUUCGGCUGUCUCGAUUUUUUUCAGGACAUCUUGUCCCCCAUACUGUGAGAUACUGAAAACUCGAGAAAAAGCUCAUCUUGUGUUGAUGUUUUUCUUUGUAUAGCUUUCAGCGGAGACAUUGUGCAUUGAAGCAUUAUUCCUCUUAUCAUUUCCUUAAAGUAUUGCCUGUAACAGCAAUUUUGUUCAUACUUACAAAAUGCAGGUUUGUAAAUGCUAAAUUAAUUUAUUCCCAAGGUAAUUGGCGACCUAUAUUUACUAUAGGCUUUAUCUACUAAGCCUAUAUUUUUUAGUUUAUUUUGAGUAUCUACAUGGAUACACAAGAAAUCCGCCCUAUCUUGUUGACUCAUCUGUUGUUGAUCCAAAACCUGCACAGGGCUAUUUUUGUUGCGCGCUUGCGUCGUACUUACGGCUGCGGCAAGGCUCAGCAUGCACAGUUCAACGUGAUCCCAACACGGUGACGUCGCUGGCUCAGCCUGCUCUCUCGGAAGGCACGCGGCCGACGGGGUGGUUUCUGAGCGGCUGUAAACAGUGCAGAUGUAGGGCACAUGCCAGGGAGUAAAUAACAAAACACUCUUUAAGGGGUGCAGAUUUA